UCCUCCAACUGCUGUGACCAAUUCUUGUAACUCCACCUGGGCCUGGGAUCUGUUUCUAAGAAGCCUCAGAGGGUAUUUUUAUUCAAAAGUGAAGAGUUCUGGAAGAUCAGUCUGUCAGGAGAGAGUUCUUCUCGAGAGGAUUGUUAAGACUGAAGAUGUCUUUAAAGAGACGGCUGCUGUCCAUGUUGUUGUGCUGUGUUUACUGCGUGGCCUCGCUCUUCUGCCUCCACCCAAACCGCAACAACUGCUUCUCUCUCGGAGCUCGGAAUAUGGUGUCAGUCGUGCAGCAGCUUUACCAGCGUGUCAUUCGACUGCUGCGCCCCACCCUCUGAUCAACAGCCUUUUAAACCAAUAACUCCGGACCUGUCCUGCCACUGCGGCCAGUCUGGCUGUUAUCAAGCAUGCUCUCUGGAAGCGCAUUACCAACUGAAAAGAAGAAGAAACAGAGGAAGAGGAAUGGAGUGACUCCAUUCUCGGACUGUGAAGUUUCCACCAGCUCAGUUUUCUCUGCACUGGACUCCAGUUGCUGUGCUGUGUUCACUGCUGCAAUCCUUUGACUAUAUUUAAGAUGAGGAGACAAAGAGUAGGCCAGUCUAAAAAUGUUUAUUUUUUUACUGAUGUGGAUUACUAUUGUGAGUAUCUGCUGUGUGAGAUGUGAGUGAGGUGAAAAGGAUGGUCAUCUCUUAAAUGCAUUUUGAGGGUUCAUUGCGAGCUUGGCUGCUGUGCUGUGUCCUACAAGAGCAGAACAUUGAAGCUUAAAGAAACAGGCUCAUUACCAGGAGGUCACUGGUUGAAAUUCCUGGGCGAGAUGGCAUUAUUGUUGUAGUGUGUGAUGGUGCAAAUCUUCUUCCCUCCGUUUACAACCACCACAGAGCACGGCAAAAAGUUUUCAUUGGAGCUGUUUUGUAGCAGGCAGUAGCAGCUGUGGUGUUAGUGAAGUUAUAACAAACUUAUUCGAGGUCCAGAAUUUAAGAACACCUACCUAAAGCCAACCUGCAAAGAUCUUAAAAGAGACUGGUUUCAGAAAGGGACCUAAGAUCCAAUCCAAAAAGACCCAAACACAGAGAGUAGGAUGCUCCACUAAUUAAGGUGCAGCUGUUGUCGAAAAGAGUAGCAAUGUCAUUUCCCAUGAAACACCAUGUGAUCAGAGUUUAUUGUCCUCUUACAGACCUGAGACCUGCGGAAAUACCACCGGGCCCUAUCUUGUCCAAGUUAGACCCUUAAUCUACUUAAGUACACAUAUGCCACGUCAACACUUGGCUUGUACUUUGCAAAUAUGUGGCACAGUUGUAUAAAACAAGUAUUUACUUCUUUGUGGAGGUGAAAGAGCUCUACAGGGGUAAUACAGCAAGAGACAUGUCAAAUUCCAUGACCUUGUUGUUGCUGCAAUGCCCUUAACUACUAUUGUAUGAGUGAAACCGGUGACGAGAGUAUAUUGAGACGAGAUCAAGACUUUGAAGGGUUGAGAUCGGGUCAAAUCUAACACCAGCACAGUAUGAGUCCCACACGGGGAGAUCCACAUUCCCAUAAAGACAGCCACAGAAAACAAAUGAAGGUUCUUCUUCAUUCACCUCUUAUAUUGCCUUGUGCUGUAUUUGUGUUUGUAGACGUUUACCAUGAGAAAAAGGGUUUCAAAAGUAAAUUUUAUGUGUUGGAAUUUUCCUUUGUUUUCUAUGAGCAAGCAAAUGGAAGACAAACCCUAUGGAGCCAAAAACAACUUUGCCAUCUUUAUUAUUAUUAUUUUUUUUUUUUUUUUUUGCACUGGCAAUUAAGUGAUAACCCUGCAGUCUUUGUCUUGACUGGUCCUAAAAUAAAAUCCAGAGUCCUCUUUUCCUGAGACAAGGACAAGACUGAGUAAAAAUGCAGUCGAUUCCAAGACCGAGACCUUCAAAAUGUGGUCUCGAGACCGGUUCUCGAGUGCUUCAACAAUGUGUGAAACUAAACAGCUCUCGGUUGCAUCGUAACAAGAAUUUCAGGUGUCAAAUUGCUGCACGCAACAUUGUGUACUUUUACUUUUUCUUAGCUACAUGCUUUCAUGCUUUGGGCUUAAAAAGUAUUUUGUUUUGCCAAAUCCAACAGAUACAACAGGAGCACACCGCAGCAGAAAAAGAUGAAAACUGGCUUUUGACAGUGCAGCAGAAAUGUGUAUGACAGUGAGGUGACAAUGCAAAGGAACUGACUGAUUAGGUAAUAUUUUAUAGCCUUAACUCUAUAAACAGUACUCUGCUGCAGUGAUUUGUUGCACAUUUGAGCAUGACUCUGGUCAGGCUGUGUGACUUUUUCCCAUGUGUAACGUUCCCUCCAUCACUAUGAUGGAGGGAACGUUACACAUGCUUGGAAAAAAAAAAUUAAGAAAAAUCCUGUGGCUGGUGGAUGAUGGUGAAUAAACAAUUGUCUGUUGAGGUGACAUGAUUGAUGACUUUAACUUGAGGUUCUAUUUCUCACUGCAGUCAGUCAUUGGGCAGUAGGCUAUGUAAGGACAUGCAGCAGGUGUGUCUGGAUCCCUUAUAAAUUACCUGAUGAUGCAGA